rnacentral:snoRNA from 1 species
AAAUAUAAUAUUUAUUAGAAUGGGCACUGUUGAUUGGUGUCUAAAAUAUUUGGUGUGGCUAAAAUGGAGACAAGGUCAGGCUUCCACCACAGUGUACGAUUACAGCAGUGACAAGGAGGCCUGUAACAUUU